UACGUAGGGGGGCGAGCGUUGUCCGGAUUUAUUGGGCGUAAAGAGCUCGUAGGCGGUUUGGUAAGUUGGAUGUGAAAUCUCCAGGCUCAACUUGGAGGGGUCAUUCGAUACUGCCAUGACUAGAGUUCGGUAGGGGAGUGUGGAAUUCCUGGUGGAGCGGUGAAAUGCGCAGAUAUCAGGAGGAACACCGGUGGCGAAGGCGGGUCUCUGGGCCGUAACUGACGCUGAGGAGCGAAAGCGUGGGGAGCGAACAGG
rnacentral:rRNA from 1 species